ensembl:lncRNA
UAUUUAAGAAAAAAAAAACUUUAUUUGUGACGUAUUAACAAAACACAUUACCAGAUUGAUUAAAUCAUAAGAAUCACUAUGAUCACCUUUACAAUGAUGAGCAGGUGUACAAAAAAGUUAUUAACAGAUCUGCACUGUCACAGUCGACUGGUAUGUGCCACUCACCGCCACACCCAACGACUGAGGAACAUUCACUAUACACAAGCAGAGAAUACAUCAACUUUAUUUUUUUUUAUUUCAUUUUUUUGUAUUUUGAUAUUUUUUUUCUUAUUUUUCUGCCUUUUUCUCUACUGGGCAAGGGAAAGGUACAGAGGGUGAGCAAAGUAUAUAAUUUCACAAUAGUGUCUUUUUGAUCAUCAUUUCAAAGUUGAACACAAGUUAGUUUAAGGACUGAUUUUCUUAUCCAUGAAAAUCAUAUGGGUAAAAACAGAAAGAAAAAAAGGCAUUUCAUAGCAUAACACAAUAGCAUUAUGUAUAUCUAGAAGAUUAAAUUUAUUUUCAACAUGAUAAGAAAAUGUGUUUCUUUUAGGUUUUUCCACAAAUUGCUGCUGCCAUGUCUGUAUUUACUGUAUGUUUGUGUCUGUAUGGAGAGGUGUGUGUAUUGUCUUUGAGAAUGUGUAUCAGAGGUAUAUGUAAAUAUUCCAAUACGCAUUUCCCAGUGGAAAAACAUAUCUAUGUAUAUAUAUAUAUAGUAUCUAUAUAGGAUCUGUUUCCUUUGCUUAUAACAUGCAAACAGCCACUUGGUGAUCUGACAGCACAGAAGUACACCUGAAGAACAGGGCAGGUGAGGAGGGAAUAGUGUGCAUGGGAAGGACUGAGCAGCACCUAUAUACCCCUAUAGUGAUCGGUAAUAUGGUGGUCUAAUAAAAGGAACAGCGAGGUGAGAUUUUAUGACACUUUCAAUCAUGUUGACGCUGCUCCCAUUUCUACCACACUAUGUUUAUACACAAUAUCAGUGCCAAAACUUCCCAGCAAACUUUUUCCCCCCAUAUUCAUGUGGAGCCAUAAAGCAAAAAAAGGGAAAUUUUAAGGUGAUGCCAGGUGAAGCCAAUGAACUUUUGUCACCUUUCAGUCACAAUUUUUAUUAUAAUAGUAAUUAUCAUAAUUUGAAUGCAGCCUCCAGCCUCUUUGUACUGCAGCUGAACUGUACUUCCCAGUCAGUGUUAACUGCAAUACAUGUGCUUGUGCAAAGGAGAAAUGACUUGCCCAAUAGUUUCUUUGUCUCCUACACUGUAUCUACACAAUGGACUACUAUGACUACUAUUUUCUGACUCUCACUCCAUCUUGCCUCAUAUCUAGCACAGCAUAAUCUCAGUUUCUGCUAAGCUCUCAGGCGUCUUCGCAAUUCAGUGCAUACAAGUCAUGCGAGAGAUGACAGAGCUGUCAACAAUGAGCAACCAGAGGAGACAUUCUGGCAGAAACGCCUAAACUCAGCUGAAGUUGAGACAAAAAAAAUGUCUAUGAGAGUGUGACAUGUGUCUAUAUGUCUAUGUGUCUGUAUCUGUGUAAAUAUGCAAAUACACACAUGUUACUGUUGUACAGUUCAUUGAAGCAAAGUGGAAAGAUGUCCAACCAUGUUGAUUUGAGGAAACAGGAGUAGAGCGAGGAAACAGGCGGCGGGCAAGCACAUCCUACAAGCACUGAAGCAGGCGAGGCAGUGGCGCAAGGCUUAAAGAACAACUAUUUAACAUUCAAAGACAGAAGAGGACGGAUCGGAACAGAAAUGAAGCGACAAGCAGCGUUCCUGCUUCCUAGCCAUAUAAUACACUCCCAUGUUAAGGGUGGCAUUGGCCUUCAGUUUUUGGAGUUUCCACAAAGGGCUGCGUAUUCUUUUCGUGUAUUUUGAAUUUAUGUGUUCAUGUGUGCGUAUGUUUGAUUUGUUGGAUUGUGUGUAAGCGGCGGAGAGAAAAUCAGUGUUUGUGUACAGUAAUGUGUCUUUCAGACUGGGUGUGCUAAUUCAGACCCCAUUAACCUGUGUCACAUUCCAAGAGAAGAAGCCAUGUCAGGGGCUGGUUGCAUCAGCUGCACGUAGGUUCCCUAGUUAUGGCCGAAGUCGCCACAAUCCCAUUUCAGGCAUUGCUAAAAUUACAAGCGGUACCACUACAGAAAUCUGUCCAAAC